ACCUCGCGCGAUUAUAGCGUCCGAUGCCUGAUUAGCUUGUUGGUGGGGUAAAAGCCCACCAAGGCGACGAUCAGUACCUGGUCUGAGAGGACUAUCAGCCUCACUGGGACUGAUACACGGCCCAGACUCCUACUGGAGGCAGCUUUGGGGAAUUUUGGACAAUGGGGGCAACCCUGAUCCAGCAAUGCCGCGUGAGUGAAGAAGGCCUUCGGGUUGUAAAGCUCUUUUGUCAGGGAAGAAACACCGGCUCUAACACAGUCCGGGAAUGACGGUACCUGAAGAAUAAGCACCGGCUAACUACGUGCCAGCAGCCGCGGUAAUACGUAGGGUGCGAGCGUUAAUCGGAAUUACUGGGCGUAAAGCGUGCGCAGGCGGUUAUACAAGACAGGCGUGAAAUCCCCGGGCUUAACCUGGGAAUGGCGCCUGUGACUGUAUAGCUAGAGUGUGUCAGAGGGGGGUAGAAUUCCACGUGUAGCAGUGAAAUGCGUAGAUAUGUGGAGGAAUACCAAUGGCGAAGGCAGCCCCCUGGGAUAACACUGACGCUCAUGCACGA
rnacentral:rRNA from 1 species